rnacentral:rRNA from 1 species
GACGAACGCUGGCGGCGUGCUUAACACAUGCAAGUCGAACGAAGAGAGGUGGAAGCUUGCUUCUAUCAAUCUUAGUGGCGCACGGGUGAGUAACGCGUAAUCAACCUGUCUUUCAGAGGGGGACCACCGGGGGAAACGACUGAUAAUACCGCAUACGAUCUAAUCUCGGGAUCGAGGAUAGAUGAAAGGUGGCCCCUACAUGUAAGCUAUCACUGACGGCGGGGAUUGCGUCUGAUUAGGUAGCUGGUGGGGAAACGGCCCAUCAAGGCGAUGCAUAGGAGCCGGUCUGAGAGGAUGAACGGCCACAUUGGGACUGAGACACGGCCCAGACUCCUACGGGAGGCAGCAGGGGGGAAUCUUCCGCAAUGGACGAAAGUCUGACGGGGCAACGCCGCGGGAGGGAUGACGGCCUUCGGGUUGGAAAGCUCUGUUAAUCGGGACGAAAGGCCUUCUUGCGAAUAGUGAGAAGGAUUGACGGUACCGAAACAGAAAGCCACGGCUAACUACGUG